rnacentral:rRNA from 1 species
AUCUUCCACAAUGGACGAAAGUCCGAUGGAGCAACGCCGCGUGAGUGAAGAAGGAUUNNNGUUCGNACAACUCUGUUGCAAGGNAAGNACAAGUAGCGUAGUAACUGGCGCUACCUUGACGGUACCUUGUUAGAAAGCCACGGCUAACUACGUGCCAGCAGCCGCGGUAAUACGUAGGUGGCAAGCGUUGUCCGGAAUUAUUGGGCGUAAAGCGCGCGCAGGUGGUUCCUUAAGUCUGAUGUGAAAGCCCCCGGCUCAACCGGGGAGGGUCAUUGGAAACUGGGGAACUUGAGUGCAGAAGAGGAUAGUGGAAUUCCAAGUGUAGCGGUGAAAUGCGUAGAGAUUUGGAGGAACACCAGUGGCGAAGGCGACUGUCUGGUCUGUAACUGACACUGAGGCGCGAAAGCGUGGGGAGCAAACA